GAUUACAACGUGGCCAGGCCUUGAUGAUUUUUUAGGUUUUGUAACAGGAAGUCGUCUCUAAAAUGUAAAAACUGUAUCAUGCUUGCUGAUCAAAUGAUCAAUCAUGUUGAGUUCGUGCAUUCCAUUGAUCUAACACGAUGAGAAUAUAGAGAUAUGUUGACACACCAGCACAUUCCGUUGUCAUACAGAACAAAGCUAAGGGGAUGAUACAUAAUCUCCUAGAUAUGUGCUGAUGUACACCUUACGAGGAAGUUGUUGAACAUUACCACACGUAAUGUGGUGGCUGCUGCGACUCGUGGUGCUUUGAGUGCACAACCUUCGCCUACUCUCCCCGGCGUCUACAGCGACGACCAUUGCUUCUUCUGUGAUGCCCUCGAAUUGACAUGGGCUGCAUCGAGGACUAGUACGAUGGUGAGCAGAGCGAGUAUGGCCUGGAGAGCCUCGACGAUGGCGCGGAUGAGCAGCUGCUCUGCACCGGCAAGUCUUGUGACUGCAAUUGAACGACAUGACGGAGAGGUGCUAGAUACAGGGUUAAGGUUGCUUGUUUAUUUGCUGAGUUUGAUACACUUUUGGACAAGUGUGUAAUGGUUGCACCUUGUAACCAGGUAGAUAGCUCACUGAUAGUCCUCUAGGUUUAA